rnacentral:lncRNA from 1 species
GGAAUUGCGAGAGUUCGCUAUGUACUGUCCCACAAAAUUGCUAAACAUAGUAAGCCAUUCGCUGAGGGAAAUUUCAUUAAAGAGUGUUAAAUUGACCCUGCAGCAAUACUUUGCCCCGACAAGAAAGAGCUGUUUGAAAAUGUUUCCCUGUCAAGACGAACAGUGGCACGGCGUAUUGAGGACAUCACAGAGAAUAUGGAACAACAGUUGAAGACAAGGACCUGAGCCCUAGGACUACCUGGCCUGAUGACUCCUUGCUGUCCCAAGUCCACCUGGUCUUGCUGCUGCUCCAGUUUCAACUGUUCUGCCUCCGGCUAUGGAACCCUGACCUGUUCACCAGACGUGCUACCUUGUCCCAGACCUGCUGUCUUCAACUCUCUAGAGACAGCAGGAGCAGUAGAGAUACUCUGAUUGAUCAGGCUAUGAAAAGCCAGCUGACAUUUACUCCUGAGGUGCUGACCUGUUGCACCCUCGACAACCACUGUGAUUAUUGUUAUUUGGCCCAGCUGGUCAUCUAUGAACAUUUGAACAUCUUGGCCAUGUUCUGUUAUAAUCUCCACCUGGCACAGCCAGAAGAGGACUGGCCACCGACCAUAGCCUGGUUCCUCUCUAGGUUUCUUCCUCGGUUCCGGCCUUUCUAGGGAGUUUUUCCUAGCCACUGUGCUUCUACACCUGCAUUGCUUGCUGUUUGGGGUUUUAGGCUGGGUUUCUGUACAGCACUUUGUGACUUUGUGAUCAGCUGAUGUAAGAAGGGCUUUAUAAAUACAUUUGAUUGGAUUUGAAGGAUCACCUUCAGUGCUCGGUUGUCUCCACCAUGUCUGUCCCCAAACAAUUUGAUUGCUUGUUUUAAGCAUUAAACUUUCAAAUAGCUCUUUGUUGACUGUUGCUUGGUGCUAUCGUCCUCCAUCAGCACCGGCCUGUACCCUACCUGCCCUAAUCUCUCUCCUGGCCCCUUACACUAAGUCUGAAUUUGUCCUGCUAGGUGACCUAAACUGGGACAUGCUUAAACCACC